rfam:Macaca mulatta chromosome 4, whole genome shotgun sequence.
GAACCUUCUCCUGUUCUGGAUGCCAGGCUGUUUUAUUUGGUAAAGUGAAUGAUUGAAGGUCUUGGGGCCGAAAUGGUCUGAACCUAUUCUCAAACUUUAAAUGGGUUAGAAACCUGGCUUGCUGGCAUAGAGCCAGGCGUGGGAUGUGAGUUCACUUUUGGUAAGCAGAACUGGCACUGCGGGAUGAACUGAAUGCUGGGUUAAGGCACCCGAUGCUGACGCUCAUCAGACACCCCACUCUUGGUACCAAAAUCUGUAUUAGUCAGGGUUCUCUAGAGGGACAGAACUAAUAGGA